CUGCUAAAGUCGGCGAACUGCAUCUCUCGGAAAGCAACGAGUAAGAGCAGGCAUGCCAGCAGACUUUCAAACUCUCAGUCUAAGCAAAGGCAGUCUGUGGUGUUCAUGAUUCCUAAUACACCGAAGAGCAACGGUGGAGGUAGUUUGCUUCGCCGAGGCCUCAGACUCCAUAAAGACGCCUGCAAAACCCCCCCAAGGGCCAGUGGGGGCCUGAGAAAACGUCCUCUCAACAAACCUUCCAAAACCUCCGACGCCAAACUGGGAGCGCAAAACAGAAGUAACUGUGCCGACCGUCUUUCCUGAAGACUGUAAACUCCAGGAUCAUUUGGGAAAAAAUCCUCGAUUUAUUUGUAUUGGCGAUUUUAUUGUUUGUCUUCUGUUCACUUUAUAGAUUUGAAUUUUGCAAUGUUUAAAAUAAUGCAAUGUGUUAAAAAUAAAGUAUUUUUAUUACA